AGUGCAAUUGCUGGGUCGUAGGGUAGGUCUAGUUUUAAUUUUUUGAGGAACCUCCAUACUGUUUUCCAGAGUGGCUGCACCAGUUUGCAUUCCCACCAGCAAU
rnacentral:pre_miRNA from 1 species